ACCCUUGAGUUUUUUGAGCACAUGUUCCAUAUCUACAUAUUUUGUUUUAAAAUGGUUCUAAGGUUUUGUGGUCAAAUGAAGAUACUUUUUAAUGUCAAUAAAAAGUUAUAAAGCAAUACACUAUCAAUAUGGAUAGCACAGAAAGAUAUUAAGAAGGAAGUUUAAAACACUUACAAUUUCACUUUCUAAAGAUGACAUUUUGCUCUCAGUCCAGACUUCUAUGCUUAUAUUUAAUAUUUAUAUACGGGUGUGUGUGUGUGUUUUAAAGUGUGAUUGUACUCCACUUACUGUUAUUUAACCUACUCUGCUCACUUAAAAAUGUAUUCUUUAUUCCAGGUCAAAGAAAUGGCAGACGUCCUUAAUCCAUUAAUCACUGCAGUAUUUCUAGAGGCAUCAAACAGUGCCUCCUACAUCCAGGACGCCUUUCAGCUACUCUUACCUGUGCUAGAGAUCUCUCUCAUUGAGAACAAGAUUGAAUCACACAGGCAUGAGCUGCAGGGCCAGAAGCCUUUGUUAGAACAUUGAAGAAUGGAGACGUUGACCUGGGACUUGUGACAGCCAAGGAAUGCCACCUUAUUCUGGCUACUCCUGCAGAAAUCAAGAGUGGGGUUAUUUUAGUAUAUAAAAAUUCAGGCAGGAAAGAUGGUUUAAAGAGGAAGAUUGUUGCCUUCAGUGUUUGAUUGAAGUAUUCAGGUCCUCACAGUAUUCUUUCCAGUUGUUGUAAUUCAUAAAUUAUUUGAAAAGAAACUUUUGUAGAAAGUCCAAGAAUAAUAACUCUAGAUAA
rnacentral:sRNA from 1 species